GGGGCGGUGGCGGAAUCGGUAGACGCACCUGACUUAAAAUCAGUUGUCUUGAAAAAGACGUGAGAGUUCAAGUCUCUCUCGCCCUA
rnacentral:tRNA from 1 species